UACGUAGGUGGCAAGCGUUGUCCGGAUUUACUGGGCGUAAAGAGCGCGCAGGUGGCUCGGUAAGUCUGCUGUGAAAUCUCCCGGCUUAACUGGGAGGGGUCAGCGGAUACUGUCGGGCUUGAGGCAGGUAGAGGAAGGUGGAAUUCCCGGUGUAGUGGUGAAAUGCGUAGAGAUCGGCAGGAACACCCAGGGGGAAACCAGUGGACUGGCACGGUGCUGACGCUCAGGUGCGAAAGCGUGGGGAGCGAACCGG
rnacentral:rRNA from 1 species